AUCAUUGCUUUUCUCCUUUAGGCUCUCAUCGCAGCAGAGUCGGAAGAAGGCGCGAACCAAACAGACUUGGGAGUCACUAGGAACAAGAUCAUGACGGCUCAGUAUGAAUGUUACCAAAAGAUCAUGCAGGAUCCCAUUCAACAAGGAGAAGGCCUUUACUGCAACAGAACCUGGGACGGAUGGCUAUGCUGGAAUGACGUUGCAGCAGGAACCGAGUCAAUGCAGUACUGCCCUGAUUACUUUCAAGAUUUUGAUCCUUCAGAGAAGGUUACAAAGAUCUGUGACCAAGAUGGAAACUGGUUCAGACAUCCAGAUAGUAACAGGACAUGGACAAACUACACCUUGUGUAACAACAGCACGCAUGAG
rnacentral:lncRNA from 1 species